ensembl:misc_RNA Y_RNA Y RNA
AGCUUGUCUGAGUGCAGUGGUGUUUACAGCUGGUUGAUCACAACCGGUUACAGAUUUAUUUGUUCUUUCUCUACUCUCACUACUUUACUUGACUAACCAAAA